rnacentral:lncRNA from 1 species
AUAAUUUAUAUUUCAUGACGUCAUGAGAGGAGAUGUUGUGUCGUCUCGGAAAAAUCUCAACUAAUCUGUCUUUUGUGAAAAAUUAAUUAAUUUUGGUAAAUUUUCAUUCCAGAACUUUUUCCAAAUAAUUAAUCACAUGUUGUUUGAUGUGACAGUGAAACAUCAUAACAAUGCAUUAGAAAAAUAAGCGACAAAUUUUGUAUAACUCGUGUACUUAUAGAGUUCCGUACAAAUGCAAUUAUAUGUUUCUUUUUGUUAUUUCACUGGAUAAAAAGCGUUUAUCCUAUGCUCAUUUUUCUGUUCAAAGCGCUUAAUACACAAUCUGCUACGGUAAUCACUGUCAUAAUACAAUAACAGUACAUACAAACGCACUCAAUUCUUAAAAGCUACGGUUUUGUUAACAUUGACCCCACAUCUCUUGGUUUUAGAAAACAUAUUGCAAAGAUG